GAUGAACGCUGGCGGCGUGCUUAACACAUGCAAGUCGAACGAAGCACCUUAUUCUGAUUUCUUCGGAAUGAAAAAUUUGGUGACUGAGUGGCGGACGGGUGAGUAACGCGUGGGUAACCUGCCUCAUACGGGGGGAUAACAGUUAGAAAUGACUGCUAAUACCGCAUAAGACCACGGCACCGCAUGGUGCAGGGGUAAAAACUCCGGUGGUAUGAGAUGGACCCGCGUCUGAUUAGGUAGUUGGUGGGGUAACGGCCUACCAAGCCGACGAUCAGUAGCCGACCUGAGAGGGUGACCGGCCACAUUGGGACUGAGACACGGCCCAAACUCCUACGGGAGGCAGCAGUGGGGAAUAUUGCACAAUGGGGGAAACCCUGAUGCAGCGACGCCGCGUGAGCGAUGAAUUAUUUCGGUAUGUAAAGCUCUAUCAGCAGGGAAGAAAAUGACGGUACCUGACUAAGAAGCACCGGCUAAAUACGUGCCAGCAGCCGCGGUAAUACGUAUGGUGCAAGCGUUAUCCGGAUUUACUGGGUGUAAAGGGAGCGUAGACGGAGUGGCAAGUCUGAUGUG
rnacentral:rRNA from 1 species